UUAAGUUCGGCGGGUAGUCCUACCUGAUUUGAGGUCAGAUGACAUGAAAACAUUGUCCGAAGACGGCUAUGAGCAACCCCGGGUCAGAGUCGGCCCCCAAACGGCGCCACUGUCAACGAAGCGUUUGUUAUCACACCGUCGUCGAACCGACUCUAAAGGGCCAAGCUGAUGCGUUUGAAGACGAGCGGCGGGAGGAAACC
rnacentral:misc_RNA from 1 species